rnacentral:tRNA from 1 species
AUCAGUUUAGUUUAAUGGUAAAACACUUGACGCGUAAUCAAAAAGAUGUGAUUUCGAGUCUCAUGGCUGGCC